UACGUAGGGUGCGAGCGUUGUCCGGAUUUAUUGGGCGUAAAGAGCUCGUAGGCGGUUUGUCGCGUCGGCCGUGAAAUCUCCACGCUUAACGUGGAGCGUGCGGUCGAUACGGGCAGACUUGAGUUCGGUAGGGGAGACUGGAAUUCCUGGUGUAGCGGUGAAAUGCGCAGAUAUCAGGAGGAACACCGGUGGCGAAGGCGGGUUGCUGGGCUGAUACUGACGCUGGAGGCGCGAAAGCCAGGGGGAGCGAACGGG
rnacentral:rRNA from 1 species